UGCAAUUAUAUAUUUUGGCGCCAAUGAAUUACCGGGAAAAGAACGGCGCGAACAAAAAAAAACGCCUGAAUUUAGCUUCUCUAGCCUACUCUGCCACUUAUCUUUCUUCGUGCAUUUCUGAUUUUUCAUAAAGAAAAGUAGCACAGACUUAGUUCUCCGUUUUCCAUGGAAUCAUAUAAGAAUUAAAGCAAAUCCAAUAACGGGUUCGGGGCCAAUAUGGAUCUUUCAGAUAUAGCGAGAAAGCUUGAUCUCUCACAACACAAGAUGCUGGUCCGAAAAGCGGCGAAACUCCGACGCCUCUGCGAUGUGCAGUUCGAUUCAUCCAUUAUCGGUGUCGGAGAGGUUUGUAGGUUUUGUGAGGUUAUAUUUGAUAGGCAAAAGGCUGUCAAAUUGAGUGGAGUGUCAGAAAAGGCUUACACUAGAUUUUUCAAUUCCUUGCAGAACGGUCUAAAUAUCAAAACAAUGUUGGAUAUUAGAGAAUUGGGGAUUCAAUUUGGAUGCGUUAGGCUCAUCCCUUUUGUGAAGAAGGAUUUAUCUCUCUACAAGGACCGGUUUAUGGCAUCACUGCCUUCUUCCAGGCAGGCGAGCGCAGACUUCACCAUACCAGUGCUUACUGCCGUGUCAUUUUACUUGUGUGCUAAAAAACACAAGCUGAAGAUCGAUAAGGUUAGGUUGAUUGAGGUUUGUGGCACCUCUGAAUCUGAAUUUUCUUGUGUCUCUACCUCCAUGAAAGAUCUGUGCCAUGAUGUUUUUGGAAUCUCAAAUGAGAGAAAAAAUCCCAAGGAAGCGAAAGGAAACCGAGUUUUCGAGUUACAAGCAGCGAAAGGACGCAGAGAAAGUUGAUGAAGAAUGGAAACCAACUGUUCUGUCAUCUAACAAGAAGAGCACAGAAGUGUGCAUUUUCUUCAGCACCUUGCAAGCGGACCACUCUUAGCAUUCUCAAGCAAGUUUUAUGACAUUGAAAUAUUUAUUUAUUAUUGAGCAUCGAAAUUAUGAAUUUCU